rnacentral:ncRNA from 2 species
CCCUAGAUCGCAGGACCAAGUUCCGGCCCGCCGGAUGAAAAGGGAAUACGGAGGAACGCCUGCGUUCUGGCCGUAGCUGCCCCCGCAACUGUCAGCGGUGAGCGACGUCGAUCAUGCCACUGGGGCGGCAAAGCCCCGGGAAGGCCGGCAACGCUACGACCCGCGAGCCAGGAGACCUGCUUGGAGGAUCACCCUUUC